CCUACGGGUGGCAGCAGUGGGGAAUAUUGCGCAAUGGGCGAAAGAGUGACGCAGCGACGCCGCGUGAAUGAUGAAGGCCUUCGGGGCGUAAAGUUCUUUCGACAGGGAAGAAAAUGCCUAUAAGUAACUGUGUAUGUAUUGACGGUACCUGUAUAAGCAGCCCCGGCUAACUCCGUGCCAGCAGCCGCGGUAAUACGGGGGGGGCGAGCGUUGUUUGGAGUGACUGGGCGUAAAGAGGACGUAGGCGGUGUUGAAAGUCAUUAGUCAAAGACUAGAGCUCAACUUUAGUAAGGCUAGUGAUACUAUAAUACUAGAGUAUCAGAGAGGAUUGCAGAAUUCCUGGUGUAGCGG
rnacentral:rRNA from 1 species